rnacentral:rRNA from 1 species
AAUACAUGCAAGUCGAGCGGACCUCAUAGGAAGCUUGCUUUUUAUGAGGUUAGCGGCGGACGGGUGAGUAACACGUGGGUAACCUGCCCUAUAGACCGGGAUAACUCGCGGAAACGCGUGCUAAUACCGGAUAACACAGCGGAGCGCAUGCUCCGGUGUUGAAAGGUGGUUCUGCUACCGCUAUAGGAUGGGCCCGCGGCGCAUUAGCUGGUUGGUGGGGUAACGGCCUACCAAGGCGACGAUGCGUAGCCGACCUGAGAGGGUGAUCGGCCACACUGGGACUGAGACACGGCCCAGACUCCUACGGGAGGCAGCAGUAGGGAAUCUUCCACAAUGGGCGAAAGCCUGAUGGAGCAACGCCGCGUGAGCGAAGAAGGUCUUCGGAUCGUAAAGCUCUGUUGUAAGGGAAGAACAAGUGCGGUAGUAACUGACCGCACCCUGACGGUACCUUACGAGAAAGCCACGGCUAACUACGUGCCAGCAGCCGCGGUAAUACGUAGGUGGCGAGCGUUGUCCGGAAUUAUUGGGCGUAAAGCGCGCGCAGGCGGUCUCUUAAGUCUGAUGUGAAAGCCCCCGGCUCAACCGGGGAGGGUCAUUGGAAACUGGGAGACUUGAGUGCAGGAGAGGGAAGCGGAAUUCCAUGUGUAGCGGUGAAAUGCGUAGAGAUAUGGAGGAACACCAGUGGCGAAGGCGGCUUCCUGGCCUGUAACUGACGCUGAGGCGCGAAAGCGUGGGGAGCAAACAGGAUUAGAUACCCUGGUAGUCCACGCCGUAAACGAUGAGUGCUAGGUGUUAGGGGGCUUGCCCCUUAGUGCUGCAGCUAACGCAUUAAGCACUCCGCCUGGGGAGUACGGUCGCAAGACUGAAACUCAAAGGAAUUGACGGGGGCCC